GUUUUAAGUCAAAUUGAGUCCUUCUUAGUUCAUUUAUGCAUCUGCAUUAGUUUAGGAAUCUUAAUUUAUUUAUUUGAUCUUUUUGUUAGUUUUUAUUAGUUUUAGUUUAAGGUUAAUCCCUAUGGUCAGGUUUGAGCUAGAAUCUUAUGAGAAUAUUGGUUAUGGUCCUUUGGGGGUUCUUAUUUGCUGAAUUGAAUGAGGGGUUGAUGAGUUACCAUGAUUAAUGAGAUGUUUCCAUGAGUUACAUUGUUGUUUUGAUGGUUUCUUGAGAUGCUUUUCAGGUUUGAUAGGGUUUUGAUGGCUAAUGAUGAUGAUUGAAAGCCAAGUAAUGAGCCAUGAUG
rnacentral:lncRNA from 1 species